rnacentral:rRNA from 1 species
UACAGAGGGUGCAAGUGUUAAUCGGAAUUACUGGGCGUAAAGCGUGCGCAGGCGGUUCGUUAUGUCCGAUGUGAAAGCCCCGAGCUUAACUUGGGAAUGGCAUUGGAAACUGGCGGGCUGGAGUGCGGCAGAGGGGGGUGGAAUUCCACGGUGUAGCAGUGAAAUGCGUAGAGAUGUGGAGGAACACCGAUGGCGAAGGGCAGCCCC